GUUUUUUUGUUUUAAUGAAAGGGAUCGGAUCUGAACGCUGGUCUUGGUGGUCGUAAAAGGAGGGAAAGUGAUACUGAGCUGGCCUCACAGCAUUGCAGCCUGGCAUUUUAGCGUGUGGGCGAGUUUCAAACAGGA
rnacentral:snoRNA from 1 species